rnacentral:rRNA from 1 species
CCUACGGGUGGCAGCAGUGAGGAAUAUUGGUCAAUGGUCGGGAGACUGAACCAGCCAAGCCGCGUGAGGGAGGAAGGUACAGAGUAUCGUAAACCUCUUUUGUCAGGGAACACAGGCGGGGCCGUGUCCCCGGAUGAGUGUACCUGAAGAAAAAGCAUCGGCUAACUCCGUGCCAGCAGCCGCGGUAAUCCGGAGGAUGCGAGCGUUAUCCGGAUUUAUUGGGUUUAAGGGGUGCGCAGGCGGUCGAUUAAGUCAGCGGUGAAAGCCCGGGGCUCAACCCCGGCCCGCCGUUGAAACUGGCAGUCUCGAGUUGGAUAGAAGUAUGCGGAAUGCGCGGUGUAGCGGUGAAAUGCAUAGAUAUCGCGCAGAACUCCGAUUGCGAAGGCAGCAUGCCGGCUCCACACUGACGCUGAGGCACGAAAGCGUGGGUAUCGAACAGGAUUAGAUACCCCAGUAGUC